rnacentral:rRNA from 1 species
UACGUAGGGGGCGAGCGUUUGUCCGGAAUUAUUGGGCGUAAAGGGCGCGUAGGCGGCCUGCUAAGUCGGACGUGAAAUCCCUCGGCUCAACCGGGGAACUGCGUCCGAUACUGGUUGGCUUGAAUUCGGGGAGAGGGAUGCGGAAUUCCAGGUGUAGCGGUGAAAUGCGUAGAUAUCUGGAGGAACACCGGUGGCGAAGGCGGCAUCCUGGACCAAUUCUGACGCUGAGGAGCGAAAGCCAGGGGAGCAAACGGG